UACAGAGGGUGCAAGCGUUAAUCGGAGUUACUGGGCGUAAAGGGUGCGUAGGUGGCUAUUUAAGUUGGAUGUGAAAUGCCUGGGCUUAACCUAGGGAGGUCAUUCAAAACUGAGUAGCUAGAGAGCAGUAGAGGGUGGUGGAAUUUCCGGUGUAGCGGUGAAAUGCGUAGAGAUCGGAAGGAACGCCAGUGGUGAAGACGACCACCUGGACUGCAACUGACACUGAGGCACGAGAGCGUGGGGAGCGAACAGG
rnacentral:rRNA from 1 species